AUUUUCCACCAUGGAACCCUGUUCUCAUUCUCUAGCGAUCGGGUCACCUCCCUCCCCGCCCCCGGAUUACUUUUGCCGGAAGACUUGAAUAAAAUUGGUUGAGACACAUUUGAAAACAGAGUAGAGAAUUCUGUUGAACAAAAUAUAUAACCUUUUAUGCAAUCUGAGCACUUAAAGCCUUAGAAGAGAAAAUGCUCAAAUCCUAGAACAAGCUAAACUUUAUCCUGCUGCCCCAGUGAAGAGAUCUGCACAGAUGAUAGAACAGUAGAAUAAUGCUGCAGGGAACUUUGGCCUGAAGACAGUUUACUCCCAUCUGGGUACAUGGCAGCAAAACCACGGAUGCGAUCAGCUCUUGUGAGAUCUGGGAGAAGAAGAAAAGGUGAAUGACUGCUGAAGUGUGAAUAAAUGAAACCUCUGGAACUGAAGAGCAUGGGUUAAGAGAAAUGUUCAGUCGAACCAUUUCUGUUUAAGAGACAAAGGAUUAAUGAACAGAUUUGACAAUUAUAACAACCUAG